rnacentral:rRNA from 1 species
AUACGGAGGGGGUUAGCGUUGUUCGGAAUUACUGGGCGUAAAGCGCGCGUAGGCGGAUUAGUAAGUUAGAGGUGAAAUCCCAGGGCUCAACCCUGGAACUGCCUUUAAUACUGCUAGUCUUGAGUUCGAGAGAGGUGAGUGGAAUUCCGAGUGUAGAGGUGAAAUUCGUAGAUAUUCGGAGGAACACCAGUGGCGAAGGCGGCUCACUGGCUCGAUACUGACGCUGAGGUGCGAAAGCGUGGGGAGCAAACAGGAUUAGAUACCCGAGUAGUCC